UGAAUACGAGAUGCUACGGCGUCGAAGCAGUCUAUGUCAUACUUCCAAGAAAAGCUUGCACUGCCAUAAACAAAUAAUGCCUGUACCAUAACCGACACAGGUGGGUAGGUAGAGUAUACUAAGGGGCGCGAGAUAACUCUCUCUAAGGAACUCGGCAAAAUGACUCCGUAACUUCGGGAGAAGGAGUGCCUUAUUUAUAAGGUUGCAAUAACAAGACCCAAGCAACUGUUUAUCAAAAACACAGGUCUCCGCUAAGUCGUAAGACGAUGUAUGGGGGCUGACGCCUGCCCAGUGCCAGAAGGUUAAAGAAGUUGGUUAGCAUUAGCGAAGCUGAUGACUGAAGCCCUGGUGAACGGCGGCCGUAACAAUAACGGUCCUAAGGUAGCGAAAUUCCUUGUCGGGUAAGUUCCGACCCGCACGAAAGGCGUAAUGAUUUGGGUACUGUCUCAGAGAGGGACUCGGUGAAAUAGACUUGUCUGUGAAGAUGCGGACUACCUGCACCUGGACAGAAAGACCCUAUGAAGCUUUACUGUAACCUGAAAUUGAAAUUGGACUUUAUUUGCGCAGUAUAGGUGGGAGGCUUUGAAGAUAUUCUUGCGGGAAUGUUGGAGCCAUCAGUGAGAUACCACUCUUGUAAUGUUAGAUUUCUAACUUUGUAUCAUUAUCUGGUCAAAGAACAGUUUCAGGCGGGCAGUUUGACUGGGGCGGUCGCCUCCUAAACGGUAACGGAGGCGCACAAAGGUUUCCUCUGAACGGGUAGAAAUCGUAUCUAGAGUGUAAAGGCAUAAGGAAGCUUGACUGUGAGACCUACAAGUCGAGCAGGGACGAAAGUCGGUCUUAGUGAUCUGACGGUGCUGAGUGGAAAGGCCGUCACUCAACGGAUAAAAGUUACUCUAGGAUAACAGGCUGAUCUCCCCCAAGAGUUCACAUCGACGGGGAGGUUUGGCACCUCGAUGUCGGCUCAUCGCAUCCUGGGGCGGUAGUACGUCCCAAGGGUUGGGCUGUUCGCCCAUGAAAGCGGUACGCGAGCUGGGUUCAGAACGUCGUGAGACAGUUCGGUCCAUAUCCGGUGUAGGCGUUAGAAUAUUGAGAGGAGCCUUCCCUAGUACGAGAGGACCGAGAAGGACACACCUCUGGUGUACCAGUUAUCGUGCCAACGGUAAACGCUGGGUAGCUAUGUGUGGAGCGGAUAACCGCUGAAAGCAUCUAAGUGGGAAGCCCACCUCAAGAUAAGUAUUCU
rnacentral:rRNA from 1 species